rnacentral:misc_RNA from 1 species
AAUUCUCAACCUUCAAAACUUUUUUGUUGCGAAGGCUUGGACUUGGAGGUCGUGUCGGCGUCGCUGUCGACUCCUCUGAAAUGCAUUAGCGUGAAUCUUACGGAUCGCCUUCGGUGUGAUAAUUUCUGCGCCGCGGCCGUGAAGUAUAAUAGUGUUCGUGCUUACAACUGUCUGCAAAGACAAUUCUUCUUGACA